UACCAGCACCCCGAGUGGUCGGGACGAUUAUUGGGCCUAAAGCAUCCGUAGCCGGUUCUGCAAGUCCCCCGUUAAAUCCAGCUGCUCAACAGAUGGGCCGCGGAGGAUACUCCAGAGCUAGGAGGCAGGAGAGGCAAGCGGUACUCAGUGGGUAGGGGUAAAAUCCGUUGAUCCAUUGAAGACCACCAGUGGCGAAGGCGGCUUGCCAGAAUGCGCUCGACGGUGAGGGAUGAAAGCUGGGGGAGCAAACGGG
rnacentral:rRNA from 1 species